UACGAAGGGGGCUAGCGUUGCUCGGAAUCACUGGGCGUAAAGCGCACGUAGGCGGAUCUUUAAGUCAGGGGUGAAAUCCCAAGGCUCAACCUUGGAACUGCCUUUGAUACUGGGGAUCUCGAGUCCGGAAGAGGUGAGUGGAACUGCGAGUGUAGAGGUGAAAUUCGUAGAUAUUCGCAAGAACACCAGUGGCGAAGGCGGCUCACUGGUCCGGUACUGACGCU
rnacentral:rRNA from 1 species